ACGACUACAUAUCAGGCAUAUCAAUAAGCGGAGGAAAAGAAACUAACAAGGAUUCCCUUAGUAACGGCGAGUGAAGCGGGAAGAGCUCAAAUUUGAAAUCUUCAAGGUUUUACCUGACGAAUUGUAGUUUAAAGAAGUGUUUUCUGUUGAAGUUUUGGUAAAAGUUCUUUGGAAUAGGACAUCAUAGAGGGUGAGAAUCCCGUAUUUGACCAUUAUUUUCAGCUGUGUGAUACACUUUCAAAGAGUCGGAUUGUUUGGGAAUGCAGUCCAAAAUGGGUGGUAAAUUUCAUCUAAAGCUAAAUAUUGGCGAGAGACCGAUAGCGAACAAGUACCGUGAGGGAAAGAUGAAAAGAACUUUGAAAAGAGAGUUAAACAGUACGUGAAAUUGUCAAAAGGGAAGCGUUUGACACCAGUGUUGUUUUCUCGAAAAUCAAUUAAAAAUAGUUGGAUUUUGUGUUGUAUUGACCUUAACAGCUUGCUUCACUCUUUUCCAGCUUUCUUUAAUGCACUUUUCGUUUAACAAGUCAACAUCAGUUUCUUUUGUUGUAAAAGGGUCAUUGGAAGGUGGCUUUCUCUUCGGAGAAAGUGUUUAUAGCCUUCGAUCUCUGCAAUCGGAGAGACUGAGGUCUGCAGCGUAGAUCCUUCGGGGUUAGAUACAUUUGUGCUAAGCUCCAGCUUUUCAUAGACAACUUGUUGACUAUGUUUAGUCUUGUAACUUACCCGCUUAUGCUAUUUUACCUACGCUUAGGAUGUUGAGCGCAUGUCUCUCUCU
rnacentral:rRNA from 1 species